rnacentral:rRNA from 1 species
GACGGGGGAUGCAAGCGUUAUCCGGAAUCACUGGGCGUAAAGCGUCUGUAGGUGGUGAUGCAAGUCACUGGUGCAAAACUCUGGCUCAACCGGAGGAAAGCUAGUGAAACUGCAUGACUAGAGUGUGGGAGAGGUAGAAGGAAUUCCCUGAGUAGCGGUGAAAUGCGUAGAUAUAGGGAAGAACACCGGAGGCGAAAGCGUUCUACUGGAACACAACUGACACUGAGCGACGAAAGCUAGGGGAGCGAACAGG